AACUAAGUUUGUUCUUGGUAUAAGCUUUUGUGUCCUUGUACACUGCUUCAGAUACCAAAGUUAUCGGUAUCUGAAGAAGUGUGCAUGCACACGAAAAGUUAGGUCAUGCCUGUUAAAUGUUUU